rnacentral:rRNA from 1 species
GAAUUAAAUUUAAAGUCUAACCUGCCCACUGAAAUAAUUAAAUGGCCGCAGUAUUCUAACUGUGCAAAGGUAGCAUAAUCAUUAGUCUUUUAAUUAAAGGCUGGAAUGAAUGGUUGGACGAAAUAUAAACUGUUUCAUUUAAUAUUUUAUUAGAAUUUUAUUUUUUAGUCAAAAAGCUAAAAUUUAUUUAAAAGACGAGAAGACCCUAUAAAUCUUUAUAUUUUGUUUGUUUUAAUUUUUAAGAUUAAUUUUAUUAUAAUUUUUUAAAAUAUUUUAUUGGGGUGAUAUUAAAAUUUAAUAACUUUUAAUUUUAUUAAGUAUUAAUUUAUGAAUAAUUCAUCCAUUAAUAAUGAUUAAAAAUUUAAGUUACUUUAGGGAUAACAGCGUAAUUUUUUUGGAGAGUUUAUAUCGAUAAAAAAGAUUGCGACCUCGAUGUUGGAUUAAGAUAUAAUUUUGGGUGUAGCCGUUCAAAUUUUAAGUCUGUUCGACUUUUAAAUUCUUACAUGAUCUGAGUUCCAACCGGAGUAAGCCAGGUUGGUUUCUAUCUUUAAAAUUUUAUAAUAUUUUAGUACGAAAGGACCAAAUAUUAAAAUAAUUAUAUUUUUAAAAAAGAAAAAUAUUAUUAAUCUAAAUACUAUUUUGGCAGAUUAGUGCAAUAAAUUUAGAAUUUAUUUAUGGAAUUUAUAUUACAAAUAGUACUUGUUUUUUAUAGAAUUAUAAUUAUCAUUUAUUGGGAGUUUAUUAUUAAUUAUUUGUGUUUUAGUAAGUGUAGCUUUUUUAACAUUAUUAGAACGAAAAGUUUUAGGGUAUAUUCAAAUUCGUAAAGGUCCUAAU